GAUGAACGCUAGCGGCAGGCUUAAUACAUGCAAGUCGAGGGACAGCACAGGUAGCAAUACUGGGUGGUAACCGGCAAACGGGUGCGGAACACGUACACAACCUUCCUUUAAGUGGGGGAUAGCCCAGAGAAAUUUGGAUUAAUACCCCGUAAUAUAGUUGAAUGGCAUCAUUUGAUUAUUAUAGCUACGGCGCUUAAUGAUGGGUGUGCGGCUGAUUAGAUAGUUGGCGGGGUAACGGCCCACCAAGUCUACGAUCAGUAGCUGAUGUGAGAGCAUGAUCAGCCACACGGGCACUGAGACACGGGCCCGACUCCUACGGGAGGCAGCAGUAAGGAAUAUUGGUCAAUGGACGCAAGUCUGAACCAGCCAUGCCGCGUGAAGGAUUAAGGUCCUCUGGAUUGUAAACUUCUUUUAUUUGGGACGAAAAAGGGUCUUUCUAGGUCAACUGACGGUACCAGAUGAAUGAGCACCGGCUAACUCCGUGCCAGCCGCCGCAGUAACAC
rnacentral:rRNA from 1 species